rnacentral:rRNA from 1 species
CUAAGGAUGGGUCUGCGGCCUAUCAGGUAGUAGUGGGUGUAGCGUACCUACUAGCCUACGACGGGUACGGGUUGUGAGAGCAAGAGCCCGGAGAUGGAUUCUGAGACACGAAUCCAGGCCCUACGGGGUGCAGCAGGCGCGAAAACUUUACAAUGCUGGCAACAGCGAUAAGGGAACCUCGAGUGCCAGGUUACAAAUCUGGCUGUCGAGAUGCCUAAAAAGCAUUUCAUAGCAAGGGCCGGGCAAGACCGGUGCCAGCCGCCGCGGUAACACCGGCGGCUCGAGUGGUAACCGUUAUUAUUGGGUCUAAAGGGUCUGUAGCCGGCCGGAUAAGUCUCUUGAGAAAUCUGGCAGCUUAACUGUCAGGCUUUCAGGAGAUACUGUCUGGCUCGAGGCCGGGAGAGGUGAGAGGUACUUCAGGGGUAGGGGUGAAAUCUUGUAAUCCUUGAAGGACCACCAGUGGCGAAGGCGUCUCACCAGAACGGACCUGACGGCAAGGGACGAAAGCUAGGGGCACGAACCGGAUUAGAUACCCGGGUAGUCCUAGCCGUAAACGAUACUCGUUAGGUGUCGGCCACGGUGCGACCGUUGUCGGUGCCGUAGGGAAGCCGUGAAGCGAGC